rnacentral:misc_RNA from 1 species
GAUGAAGAACGCAGCGAAAUGCGAUACGUAGUGUGAAUUGCAGAAUCCCGUGAACCAUCGAGUCUUUGAACGCAAGUUGCGCCUCAAGCCAUUAGGUUGAGGGCACGUCUGCCUGGGCGUCACAUAUCGUUGCCUGAUGCCAGUUUCCUCGUGAUGGGUGACUGUGCAGGGCGAAUGAUGGCUUCCCGUGAGCAUUGUUGCCUCAUGGUUGGUUGAAAAUUGAGUCCUUGGUAGGGAGCGCCGUGAUAGAUGGUGGUUGAGUGACGAACGAGACCCAAUCAUGUGAGACCCCUACCGAAUUUGGCCUUCAUGACCCACAUGCGUCUUUGGAACGCUCAUGACGAGACCUCAGGUCAGGCGGGGCUACCCGCUGAGUUUAAGCAUAUCAAUAAGCGGAGGA